UUCUAGUGCAUUUAUAAAAUGCAAACAGUAGCCUAGGAAACAGAACACCCCAUUGUCUUAGCCCUGAAACAAUAGGAUAUGGAACACAGGUUUUAUCUUGCAGUCAAGCACUGCUGCUUCCUCCCAUUCUGCACUGUUUUGCCAUUGCUACAACUCUGGGAGAUGGUGCCAUCUAUAAAGCUCUUCCUGGAAUGUGAUCCAUGAUAUGAGUCUACAGUCCUCUGUGUUGGAGAUGGGAGUUCCAGUGCUUCAAGCUUUUGCACCAACUAUCCUAAGGACCACAAGGGGCAUUGGGAGCAGAGGGCAUUAAAAAGGAUGAAGAGUGCAGCACUAAAAUUUCAACUCAGAGCUAAAGUGAGUUUAAGCUGGAGCAACGAUUUCACUUUUAUUUGAUCAGCUACAGAGUGUAUGCUGCUUAUAUUCUAGCAAACAGUCACAGAUGCAACAACAAUUUUGAAGGAAGAAAGGGACAGGAGAAAUGGGAGCUUUCCCAAAGGAAAUGAUUGAGACAGGUGCUUAAAAUUUCUCCCAAGCAGGAAAAAAAAAUGAAAUGGGCUGAGUAUUGGGGCUGAUUCAAAUGUUAACCUCUUUGGGGUCA